rnacentral:rRNA from 1 species
UACGUAGGGUGCAGGCGUUAAUCGGAAUUACUGGGCGUAAAGCGUGCGCAGGCGGCUCCUUAAGUCAGAUGUGAAAGCCCCGGGCUUAACCUGGGAACUGCGUUUGAAACUGGGGGGCUAGAGUGUGGAAGAGGGGGGUGGAAUUCCAGGUGUAGCAGUGAAAUGCGUAGAGAUCUGGAGGAACACCGAUGGCGAAGGCAGCCCCCUGGGCUAACACUGACGCUCAUGCACGAAAGCGUGGGGAGCGAACAGG